UAGGGAAUCUUCCACAAUGGACGCAAGUCUGAUGGAGCAACGCCGCGUGAGUGAAGAAGGUUUUCGGAUCGUAAAGCUCUGUUGUUGGUGAAGAAGGAUAGAGGCAGUAACUGGUCUUUAUUUGACGGUAAUCAACCAGAAAGUCACGGCUAACUACGUGCCAGCAGCCGCGGUAAUACGUAGGUGGCAAGCGUUGUCCGGAUUUAUUGAGCGUAAAGCGAGCGCAGGCGGAAUGAUAAGUCUGAUGUGAAAGCCCACGGCUCAACCGUGGAACUGCAUCGGAAACUGUCAUUCUUGAGUGCAGAAGAGGAGAGUGGAAGUCCAUGUGUAGCGGUGGAAUGCGUAGAUAUAUGGAAGAACACCAGUGGCGAAGGCGGCUCUCUGGUCUGCAACUGACGCUGAGGCUCGAAAGCAUGGGUAGCGAACAGG
rnacentral:rRNA from 1 species